rnacentral:rRNA from 1 species
AUUGAACGCUGGCGGCAUGCUUUACACAUGCAAGUCGAACGGUAACAGGCCGCAAGGUGCUGACGAGUGGCGAACGGGUGAGUAAUGCAUCGGAACGUGCCCAGUCGUGGGGGAUAACGCAGCGAAAGCUGUGCUAAUACCGCAUACGAUCUAUGGAUGAAAGCGGGGGACCGUAAGGCCUCGCGCGAUUGGAGCGGCCGAUGUCAGAUUAGGUAGUUGGUGGGGUAAAGGCUCACCAAGCCAACGAUCUGUAGCUGGUCUGAGAGGACGACCAGCCACACUGGGACUGAGACACGGCCCAGACUCCUACGGGAGGCAGCAGUGGGGAAUUUUGGACAAUGGGCGCAAGCCUGAUCCAGCAAUGCCGCGUGCAGGAAGAAGGCCUUCGGGUUGUAAACUGCUUUUGUACGGAACGAAACGGCGAGCUCUAAUACAGUUUGCUAAUGGCGGUACCGUAAGAAUAAGCACCGGCUAACUACGUGCCAGCAGCCGCAGUAAAAC